AGGGACGUAGUCCCCCGCGGCGGACACUUGCAUGGAGUGCAAGAAAUUGCUAGUUCGAAUCUAGUCUUCCCGA
rnacentral:tRNA from 1 species